rnacentral:sRNA from 1 species
GUAAUAUAGGUGGGCUUUUAGAGUGUGUAAUUACACAGUGUUUUUACACUGGUCGCAAAAAAUUUAUUUAAUCCAGUAAUAUUUGAAAAAAUCUUUCAUUUGUAUUAUGGGGUGAUGGGAAACUAAGCUUUUUUGUUUUGUUUUGUUUUGUUUAGACUUGUUUUAAAUAUUUGAUUCAGAUGGGAAUGUUUCAGCCUUUAACACUGUUCCCCUUGAUGGGGUUAUUUGUCCUUGGGUUAAAGGGUUGGAAAUCGUGCCAAAUGGGAUAACAUUGACGAUGGACUACCAGGGGAGAAGCACAGGGGAGGCCUUCGUGCAGUUUGCUUCAAAGGAGAUAGCAGAAAAUGCUCUGGGGAAACACAAGGAAAGAAUAGGGCACAGGUAUAUUGAGAUCUUCAGAAGUAGCAGGAGUGAAAUCAAAGGAUUUUAUGAUCCACCAAGAAGAUUGCUGGGACAGCGACCGGGACCAUAUGAUAGACCAAUAGGAGGAAGAGGGGGUUAUUAUGGAGCUGGGCGUGGAAGUAUGUAUGACAGAAUGCGACGAGGAGGUGAUGGAUAUGAUGGUGGUUAUGGAGGUUUUGAUGACUAUGGUGGCUAUAAUAAUUACGGCUAUGGGAAUGAUGGCUUUGAUGACAGAAUGAGAGAUGGAAGAGGUAUGGGAGGACAUGGCUAUGGUGGAGCUGGUGAUGCAAGUUCAGGUUUUCAUGGUGGUCAUUUCGUACAUAUGAGAGGGUUACCUUUUCGUGCAACUGAAAAUGACAUUGCUAAUUUCUUCUCACCACUAAAUCCAAUACGAGUUCAUAUUGAUAUUGGAGCUGAUGGCAGAGCCACAGGAGAAGCAGAUGUAGAGUUUGUGACACAUGAAGAUGCAGUAGCUGCCAUGUCUAAAGAUAAAAAUAACAUGCAACAUCGAUAUAUUGAACUCUUCUUGAAUUCUACUCCUGGAGGCGGCUCUGGCAUGGGAGGUUCUGGAAUGGGAGGCUAUGGAAGAGAUGGAAUGGGUAUGUAAAGUUUUUAAAAUAUGCAGGGUUAGCUGCUUAUCGAUGAGUCUCAAUUUUUUUUCUUUUUUCUUUUUAAAGAUAAUCAGGGAGGCUAUGGAUCAGUUGGAAGAAUGGGAAUGGGGAACAAUUACAGUGGAGGAUAUGGUACUCCUGAUGGUUUGGGUGGUUAUGGCCGUGGUGGUGGAGGCAGUGGAGGUUACUAUGGGCAAGGCGGCAUGAGUGGAGGUGGAUGGCGUGGGAUGUACUGAAAGCAAAAACACCAACAUACAAGUCUUGACAACAGCAUCUGGUCUACUAGACUUUCUUACAGAUUUAAUUUCUUUUGUAUUUUAAGAACUUUAUAAUGACUGAAGGAAUGUGUUUUCAAAAUAUUAUUUGGUAAAGCAACAGAUUGUGAUGGGAAAAUGUUUUCUGUAGGUUUAUUUGUUGCAUACUUUGACUUAAAAAUAAAUUUUUAUAUUCAAACCACUGAUGUUGAUACUUUUUAUAUACUAGUUACUCCUAAAGAUGUGCUGCCUUCAUAAGAUUUGGGUUGAUGUAUUUUACUAUUAGUUCUACAAGAAGUAGUGUGGUGUAAUUUUAGAGGAUAAUGGUUCACCUCUGCGUAAACUGCAAGUCUUAAGCAGACAUCUGGAAUAGAGCUUGACAAAUAAUUAAUUAGUGUAACUUUUUUCUUUAGUUCCUCCUGGACAACACUGUAAAUAUAAAGCCUAAAGAUGAAGUGGCUUCAGGAGUAUAAAUUCAGCUAAUUAUUUCUAUAUUAUUAUUUUUCAAAUGUCAUUUAUCAGGCAUAGCUCUGAAACAUUGAUGAUCUAAGAGGUAUUGAUUUCUGAAUAUUCAUAAUUGUGUUACCUGGGUAUGACAGUGUUGGAAGCUGAAUUCUAGCCGUAGAUUUUGGAGUAAAAUCCCUUCAGCACUUGACCGAAAUACCAAAAAUGUCUCCAAAAAAUUGAUAGUUGCAGGUUAUCGCAAGAUGUCUUAGAGUAGGGUUGAGGUUCUCAGUGACACAAGAAUUCAGUAUUAAGUACAUAGGUAUUUACUAUGGAGUAUAAUUCUCACAGUUGUAUUUUCAGUUUUCUGCCCAAUAGAGUUUAAAUAACUGUAUAAAUGAUGACUUUAAAAAAAUGUAAGCAACAAGUCCAUGUCAUAGUCAAUAAAAACAAUCCUGCAGUUGGGUUUUGUAUCUGAUACCUGCUUGGAGUUUUAGUUUAAAGAAUCUAUAUGUAGCAAGGAAAAGGUGCUUUUUAAUUUUAAUCCCUUUGAUCAAUAUGGCUUUUUUCCAAAAUUGGCUAAUGGAUCAAAAUGAAACCUGUUGAUGUGAAUUCAGUUAUUGAACUUGUUACUUGUUUUUGCCAGAAAUGUUAUUAAUAAAUGUCAAUGUGGGAGAUAA